rnacentral:rRNA from 1 species
UACGUAGGGUGCGAGCGUUGUCCGGAAUUAUUGGGCGUAAAGAGCUCGUAGGCGGUGUGUCACGUCGGCCGUGAAAACCUGCAACUUAACUGUGGGCGUGCGGUCGAUACGGGCAUCACUGGAGUUCGGCAGGGGAGACUGGAAUUCCUGGUGUAGCGGUGAAAUGCGCAGAUAUCAGGAGGAACACCGGUGGCGAAGGCGGGUCUCUGGGCCGAUACUGACGCUGAGGAGCGAAAGCGUGGGGGAGCAAACAGG